GCGUUGUUCGGAUUCAUUGGGCGUAAAGGGUGCGUAGGUGGCGAGGCAAGUCGGAUGUGAAAUCCCGGGGCUCAACCCCGGAACUGCAUUCGAUACUGCUUUGCUAGAGUACUGGAGAGGAGAUUGGAAUUUACGGUGUAGCAGUGAAAUGCGUAGAUAUCGUAAGGAAGACCAGUGGCGAAGGCGGAUCUCUGGACAGUUACUGACACUGAGGCACGAAGGCCAG
rnacentral:rRNA from 1 species